GUGCCAGCAGCCGCGGUAAUACGGAGGGGGCUAGCGUUGUUCGGAAUUACUGGGCGUAAAGCGCACGUAGGCGGACCGGAAAGUCAGAGGUGAAAUCCCAGGGCUCAACCUUGGAACUGCCUUUGAAACUCCUGGUCUUGAGGUCGAGAGAGGUGAGUGGAAUUCCGAGUGUAGAGGUGAAAUUCGUAGAUAUUCGGAGGAACACCAGUGGCGAAGGCGGCUCACUGGCUCGAUACUGACGCUGAGGUGCGAAAGCGUGGGGAGCAAACAGGAUUAGAUACCCCCGUAGUCC
rnacentral:rRNA from 1 species